rnacentral:rRNA from 1 species
GAUGAACGCUAGCUACAGGCUUAACACAUGCAAGUCGCGGGGCAGCAUGGGGGUUGCUUGCAAUCCCCGAUGGCGACCGGCGCACGGGUGAGUAACGCGUAUCCAACCUGCCCUUCACCACGGGAUAACCCGGCGAAAGUCGGACGAAUACCGUAUGUUGUCCAUUGACGGCAUCCGAUUUGGACGAAAGGUUUGGCGGUGAAGGAUGGGGAUGCGUCCGAUUAGCUGGACGGCGGGGUGACGGCCCACCGUGGCGACGAUCGGUAGGGGUUCUGAGAGGAAGGUCCCCCACACUGGAACUGAGACACGGUCCAGACUCCUACGGGAGGCAGCAGUGAGGAAUAUUGGUCAAUGAGCGUAAGCCUGAACCAGCCAAGUAGCGAGCAGGAUGACGGCCCUAUGGGUUGUAAACUGCUUUUAUGCGGGGAUAAAGUGGCCCACGUGUGGGUUUUGGCAGGUACCGCAUGAAUAAGGACCGGCUAAUUCCGG